rfam:Penicillium brasilianum genome assembly, contig: SCAF1
GUCACUUUGGCCGAGUGGUUAAGGCGCGCCCCUGCUAUUCAGGCAACUUCACAGCUGUCAGGACAUCAAGGGCGUUCAUUCGUGAGCGUAGGUUCGAAUCCUGCAGGUGACG